rnacentral:rRNA from 1 species
GCUUAUGACCGUACCGGCCUGAGUACGCCUGAUCUCGUUUGAUCUCGGAAGCUAAGCAGGGUUGGGCCUGGUUAGUUCUUGGAUGUGAGACUGCCUGGGAAUACCAGGUGCUGUAAGCU